rnacentral:rRNA from 1 species
UCCGUAGGCGGGCAAUUAAGUCAGAGGUGAAAUCCCACAGCUCAACUGUGGAACUGCCUUUGAUACUGGUUGUCUUGAGUUACAGUGAAGUAGAUAGAAUAUGUAGUGUAGCGGUGAAAUGCAUAGAUAUUACAUAGAAUACCGAUUGCGAAGGCAGUCUACUAACUGUAUACUGACGCUAAUGGACGAAAGCGUGGGUAGCAAACAGGAUUAGAUACCCUGGUAGUCC